ACGGGUGCGUAACGCGUGGGAAUCUGCCCUUGGGUACGGAAUAACUCAGAGAAAUUUGUGCUAAUACCGUAUAAUGUCUUCGGACCAAAGAUUUAUCGCCCAAGGAUGAGCCCGCGUAAGAUUAGCUUGUUGGUGAGGUAAAAGCUCACCAAGGCGACGAUCUUUAGCUGGUCUGAGAGGAUGAUCAGCCACACUGGGACUGAGACACGGCCCAGACUCCUACGGGAGGCAGCAGUGGGGAAUAUUGGACAAUGGGCGAAAGCCUGAUCCAGCAAUGCCGCGUGAGUGAUGAAGGCCUUAGGGUUGUAAAGCUCUUUUACCCGGGAUGAUAAUGACAGUACCGGGAGAAUAAGCUCCGGCUAACUCCGUGCCAGCAGCCGCGGUAAUACGGAGGGAGCUAGCGUUGUUCGGAAUUACUGGGCGUAAAGCGCGCGUAGGCGGUUUUUUAAGUCAGAGGUGAAAGCCCAGUGCUCAACACUGGAACUGCCUUUGAAACUGGAAAACUUGAAUCUUGGAGAGGUCAGUGGAAUUCCGAGUGUAGAGGUGAAAUUCGUAGA
rnacentral:rRNA from 10 species